UACGGGGGGAGCAAGCGUUGUUCGGAAUCACUGGGCGUAAAGCGCACGUAGGCGGACGUGUCAGUCAGGGGUGAAAUCCCGGAGCUCAACUUCGGAACUGCCUUUGAUACAGCACGUCUUGAGUCCGGAAGAGGUGGGUGGAAUUCCUAGUGUAGAGGUGAAAUUCGUAGAUAUUAGGAAGAACACCGGUGGCGAAGGCGGCCCACUGGUCCGGUACUGACGCUGAGGUGCGAAAGCGUGGGGAGCAAACAGG
rnacentral:rRNA from 1 species